UUUUUAUAUAUCCUAAUCAUAGAAAAUAAAAAAUAAAGAUUUAUUAUGGAAAAGUAAGUGGUGAGUGAGAAGCAUGAGAUAGAGAUAGGGUUUAGGUUCAUGAGUGGCAUGCCACCCUAGCUUAGCUUAGUAAGUAGCUGCUUCUCUUUUAUCAUAUCUGAUUUACUCUCAGUUCUGACCCUAACACUAAAAACCCUAACCCUAACCCUAAUCUAACUAGCUAGUGUCUUAGCUUAAGCUUAGCAUCAUCAUGAUCAUCAUGCCUUCUCAGCUGUUCAUUUCUAACUUUCUUAGCUGUAUGGGUGUGUUCAAUUUUUUCCCUUUAAUUUAUUUUUUGUUUUCAUAGUUUACCACUGUGCAUGUAUGAUACCCUUUUCUUUAAUUCACUGUUCCACAAGGUGGGUUAUGUCUCUAUACUCCAUAUAGCCAUGAUCACAUUUUCUAUUGAUCUUUCACAUUUGUCCCAUUCUUUCUCUCUCUUUCUCUCUCUAUAUAUAUUCCUUCUUAGUUCUUAGGUUUACCUUUGUGGCUUCAAGUUGAGUUCUUCAUGUGCCCAUUUAGCCCUUUAGGUUUAGGGUAUCCCUUAAUUCAUAUUCCCUCUUUUCUCCUUUACUCACCUUCAAAGUUUUUAUCUUUCUUGACCCUUCUUCUCAAAUAAUUAUGAGGGAUUGAUGAAACUAAGUAAAUAAUAAAGAUCACAAGGGAAAAAGUGAAGCUGCCAGCAUGAUCUAGCUUUGGUUAGUGAAAGCUAUUAACAAAGAUUAUUAGUACAAAUUAUUAACCUUUACUAGGUCAUGCUGUGCCAGCCUCACUCCUUCCUAUUUGGAGACCAAACCAAUCAAAAUCUUAUUCAUUUAUUCAUUUCAACACUACAAGCAAGGUGAUGAUGAUCAAGAGGGGGUUUAAUCUCUGUCUCCAUGGAUAGUUGGUCUCUGAGGGUAGCUACAAUAUUUAUUCCGGUAUUAUACCCGAUAAAAAUUAAACAAUAAAUUACUCUUUUUUAUUUAUAUAUUAUCGUCUAUCAUUUUUUGUACAUCUUUUAUUUGAUAAUAAAAUAUUAUGUUUUGAGUUAAAUUCUAAAUAAUUAAUUUAUCGCUCGUAUCAUUUUCAUUUUGAUGGGAUUAUUAAACCUGAGAA